rnacentral:rRNA from 1 species
GGGUUGUGAGGUUAAGCGACUAAGCGUACACGGUGGAUGCCCUGGCAGUCAGAGGCGAUGAAGGACGUGCUAAUCUGCGAUAAGCGCCGGUAAGGUGAUAUGAACCGUUAUAACCGGCGAUUUCCGAAUGGGGAAACCCAGUGUGAUUCGUCACACUAUCAUUAACUGAAUCCAUAGGUUAAUGAGGCGAACCGGGGGAACUGAAACAUCUAAGUACCCCGAGGAAAAGAAAUCAACCGAGAUUCCCCCAGUAGCGGCGAGCGAACGGGGAGGAGCCCAGAGCCUGAAUCAGCAUGUGUGUUAGUGGAAGCGUCUGGAAAGGCGCGCGAUACAGGGUGACAGCCCCGUACACAAAAGCGCAUGUGCUGUGAGCUCGAUGAGUAGGGCGGGACACGUGGUAUCCUGUCUGAAUAUGGGGGGACCAUCCUCCAAGGCUAAAUACUCCUGACUGACCGAUAGUGAACCAGUACCGUGAGGGAAAGGCGAAAAGAACCCCGGCGAGGGGAGUGAAAAAGAACCUGAAACCGUGUACGUACAAGCAGUGGGAGCCCCACCACUAAGCCAGUGGUGAACUCCACAUCCGCAUCCUUUGCUGAGGAUACGGUUAACGGAGCGAAAGCGACGUUCAACCGCAAAACAAGCAGAGGGGGCUUAGUGGUGGGGUGACUGCGUACCUUUUGUAUAAUGGGUCAGCGACUUAUAUUCUGUAGCAAGGUUAACC